rnacentral:rRNA from 1 species
GAUGAACACUGGCGGCGUGCCUAAUACAUGCAAGUCGAGCGAACGGACGAGAAGCUUGCUUCUCUGAUGUUAGCGGCGGACGGGUGAGUAACACGUGGAUAACCUACCUAUAAGACUGGGAUAACUUCGGGAAACCGGAGCUAAUACCGGAUAAUAUUUUGAACCGCAUGGUUCAAAAGUGAAAGACGGUCUUGCUGUCACUUAUAGAUGGAUCCGCGCUGCAUUAGCUAGUUGGUAAGGUAACGGCUUACCAAGGCAACGAUGCAUAGCCGACCUGAGAGGGUGAUCGGCCACACUGGAACUGAGACACGGUCCAGACUCCUACGGGAGGCAGCAGUAGGGAAUCUUCCGCAAUGGGCGAAAGCCUGACGGAGCAACGCCGCGUGAGUGAUGAAGGUCUUCGGAUCGUAAAACUCUGUUAUUAGGGAAGAACAUAUGUGUAAGUAACUGUGCACAUCUUGACGGUACCUAAUCAGAAAGCCACGGCUAACUACGU